UCCCUGUGCUAUACAGUAGGACCUUGUUGUUGUUUAUGGAUUUUUUUAAAUAUUAUGAACAAGGCUAAGAUGACUAGACUUUCCUUAUACCCAUACUUCUGUGUCCAUGAUUAUUUUGUUAGGUUAUAAAUAUAUUCCUCAAAGUGAAAUGGCCAAAAUUGAAGUUUUUUUUUUUUUUUUUUUUUUUUUUGCUGUACGCAGGCCUCUCACUGUUGUGGCCUUUCCCGUUGCGGAGCACAGGCUCCGGACGCGCAGGCUCAGCGGCCAUGGCUCACGGGCCCAGCCGCUCCGCGGCAUGUGGGAUCUUCCCGGACCGGGGCAUGAACCCGUGUCCCCUGCAUCGGCAGGCAGACCCUCAACCACUGCGCCACCAGGGAAGCCCUGAAGUCAGUUUUUGAUUGAAGUGAAACGAUGAAUUUGGUUGAUGACAAGGCCGCCUAAGAACGGAAAGCUGAGAAAUCCAGCUCCUUCACUGAUUAGGAGGCAGCUUCUCCUUCAGGGUCCGUUCAUUCACUUGCAAAGGAGCCAGGCACCCUGCUUGGCACUGGAGACCCAGCGAUCAACAGAACAGACCCAGGGCUGCCCGGACGAGUGUCUAGGAGCCCACAUGUUCCUGGAGGAGGCAAACAUGAACAAGUAAACAAACACAGAAGAAAGAGCAUUGCGGGGCUUCCCUGGUGGCACAGUGGUUAAGAAUCCACUUGCCAGUGCAGGGGACAUGGGUUCGAGCCCUGGUCCGGGAAAAUCCCACAUGCCGCGGAGCAGCUAAGCCCGUGCGCCAUAACUGCUGAACCUGGGCUCUAGAGCCCAUGAGCCACAACUACUGAUUUCGUGCUCCGCAACAAGAGAAGCCACCGCAAUGAGAAGCCCGCGCACCGCAACGAAGGCCCAACGCAGCCAAAAAUAAAAUAAAUGAAUUUAUUUUUUAAAAAA